CAAGACCAGUUAACCCACUGUUCCUAGACCAGUUAACCCACUGUUCCUAGACCAGUUAACCCACUGUUCCUAGACCAGUUAACCCACUGUUCCUAGACCAGUUAACCCACUGUUCCUAGGCCGUCAUUGUAAAUAAUAAUUUGUUCUUAACUGACUUGCCUUGUUAAAUAAAGGUUGAAUACAAAUGUAAAUGUACCUGACCAAACCAUAAUCACACAGGGAUGCUGGUCUUCCACAAACUUACAAACGUGCGCACGCACACGGCUAGCAUGCACAUUGAAAACAGCACCCUAGGUUGGGGGUCAUAGGGGAAACCAAUAUCCCUUCCUCCCCAUUCUAUUUCUCUCUCUCUUCCUCCCUGUUUCUCAUCAACACUGUCAUCUUCUCUGCAAUACUGAUAGUAUAGACUGACAGGACAGGAGACAGUGGAAUACAGUAACCCAGCCAUGUUGGAAUACAGUAACCCAGCCAUGUUGGAAUACAGUAACCCAGCCAUGUUGGAAUACAGUAACCCAGCCAUGUAGGAAUACAGUAACCCAGCCAUAUUAGAAAACAGUAACCCAGCCAUGUAGGAAUACAGUAACCCAGCCAUGUAGGAAUACAGUAACCCAGCCAUGUAGGAAUACAGUAACCCAGCCAUGUAGGAAUACAGUAACCCAGCCAUGUUAGAAUACAGUAACCCAGCCAUGUUGGAAUACAGUAACCCAGCCAUGUUAGAAUACAGUAACCCAGCCAUGUUGGAAUACAGUAACCCAGCCAUGUUAGAAUACAGUAACCCAGCCAUGUUAGAAUACAGUAACCCAGCCAUGUUGGAAUACAGUAACCCAGCCAUGUUGGAAUACAGUAACCCAGCCAUGUUAGAAUACAGUAACCCAGCCAUGUUGGAAUACAGUAACCCAUCCGUGUUGGAAUACAGUAACCCAGCCAUAUUAGAAUACAGUAACCCAGCCAUAUUAGAAUACAGUAACCCAGCCAUAUUAGAAUACAGGAACCCAGCCAUGUUAGAAUACAGUAACCCAGCCAUGUAGGAAUACAGUAACCCAGCCGUGUUAGAAUACAGUAACCCAUCCGUGUUAGAAUACAGUAACCCAUCCGUGUUAGAAUACAGUAACCCAUCCGUGUUAGAAUACAGUAACCCAGCCAUGUUGGAAUACAGUAACCCAGCCAUGUAGGAAUACAGUAACCCAGCCUAACAUCCGUGUUAGAAUACAGUAACCCAGCUGUGUUAGAAUACAGUAACCCAGCCAUGUAGGAAUACAGUAACCCAGCCGUGUUAGAAUACAGUAACCCAUCCGUGUUAGAAUACAGUAACCCAUCCGUGUUAGAAUACAGUAACCCAGCCGUGUUAGAAUACAGUAACCCAUCCCUGUUGGAAUACAGUAACCCAGCCAUAUGACAAUGUAGAUGUGCCAUAGUCUAAUCAUGUCAAACCACGCCAGUCUCCUCAUGUCAUGUUGUUUGCCGUAGACCUACACACUCGUAGUCACUUUAAACACGCCUGUCUAAAGCACUUUACGUUUCGACCAAUCCAUUUCCUUGAGAUGGUCUAAUGCAGUAAAUCAGGAAGUUGUCAUUGAUGGAGUGUAAAUGCCGUCACACACGUCACGAUGCUAAUAAACUCCUUGUAACAAUGGCGGCAGGACAUGACUUAAGAGAGUGACCAUUGAUAAACCACCACAGAUACUUCCUGGUUACUAUUUGUUUCGAGGCUGAAUAUCUAUUACAGUUGCCCAACAGUGAGAUCAAACACAUUUUUUAAAUAUUUUUUUUAGAUUUCCUGAAACGGGUUUGUUUUGAAUGAGACACAGAAAGACGAACGUUGUAGACAGGUUGUCAGUCAGUCGAGGAAGGAGACACAGAACAAACAUGAUAUCAGAAUAUGUGUUUAAUAGAGAGUAGUUUUACUGGUGCACACUAGUUUUGAUCAGAGCCCUUGGUCAAAAGUAGUGCACUAAAAGCAGUGCACUAAAAGUAGUGCACUCGUUUUGAUCAGAGCCCUUGGUCAAAAGUAGUGCACUAAAAGCAGUGCACUAAAAGUAGUGCACUAGUUUUGAUCAGAGCCCUUGGUCAAAAGUAGUGCACUAAAAGCAGUGCACUAAAAGUAGUGCACUAGUUUUGAUCAGAGCCCUUGGUCAAAAGUAGUGCACUAAAAGCAGUGCACUAAAAGUAGUGCACUAGUUUUGAUCAGAGCCCUUGGUCAAAAGUAGUGCACUAAAAGCAGUGCACUAAAAGUAGUGCACUAGUUUUGAUCAGAGCCCUUGUUCAAAAGUAGUGCACUAAAAGUAGUGCACUAGUUUUGAUCAGAGCCCUUGGUCAAAAGUAGUGCACUAAAAGCAGUGCACUAAAAGUAGUGCACUAGUUUUGAUCAGAGCCCUUGGUCAAAAGUAGUGCACUAAAAGCAGUGCACUAAAAGUAGUGCACUAGUUUUGAUCAGAGCCCUUGUUCAAAAGUAGUGCACUAAAAGUAGUGCACUAGUUUUGAUCAGAGCCCUUGGUCAAAAGUAGUGCACUAAAUGGGGGAAUGAAUAGGGUGCAAUUUGAGAUGCAGACAAGACUGUGAUGAAGUGUGUUAUUGAGUUUAUGCUUGAACUAAACUGAGUGGUGGUGAUGGAAAUACACUCAUGUAGAGAUGCCAAAGAGAAGAGGCUCUUCUCUAUCAUAUCUAUGUUGGCCAGUGCAGGCUUUUGUUCCAACCCAGCACUAAACAUUUGUUUUAAAUCAUGGCCCUCUGAAAAGAGAAGAGAAGAGGCUCUUCUCUAUCAUAUCCAAGUUGGCCAGUGCAGGCUUUUGUUCCAACCCAGCACUAAACAUUUGGUUUAAAUCAUGGCCCUCUGUAGGUGUCAGCCAAACGGCUGACCGGCUUCUCAGGGUUCACUGUCAGUUUCCACAGCCUCCUGUGUGUCAGGUAUAGCCAAUAGGAUGGUCAGUCUGUGCGAUGCUCUACUCUCAUAGGUCCACUUCCCUGUCUGUCUCUGGUCUGGGUGGGCAUUUUGAUCCCAUGGCAACAGCACUUUGCCAUGAUCAUGUGACUUUACAGAGAGACUAGCAGUUACUGUACACACCAACAACGUACACUUUAUGAUCAUGGAUCUCAAAUGAUCCAAAAUCAACCUCUCUCUCUCUCUCUCUCCCACUUAACUUUUCACCAUCUCUCUCUCUCUCCCACUUAACUUUUCACCAUCUCUCUCUCUCUCCCACUUAACUUUUCACCAUCUCUCUCUCUCUCUCCCACUAACUUUUCACCAUCUCUCUCUCUCUCCCACUUAACUUUUCACCAUCUCUCUCUCUCUCCCACUUAACUUUUCACCAUCUCUCUCUCUCUCUCCCACUUAACUUUUCACCAUCUCUCUCUCUCUCCCAAACUUUUCACCAUCUCUCUCUCCCCCCACUCUUAACUUUUCACCAUCUCCCUCUCUCUCCCACCACUUACCUUUCCUCGCUCUCCUUUUCCUUUCAUCUCCACCCCUCAACAUGCCCCCCACCACCACCACCUAUGGGUCUGCUGUUGCUGAUGAACAGAGUGAAAUGAGAAGGUGGGUGUAUUAAAACUGGUAAAGGACCAGGCCAAGUUAAAGAGUGAUUUAAGGAAGCUGGGGUGUAAAGUGAUGAUAUUGCGGUUCCCGGAACAGGAAGAGAAUCCUCAGGUGAGGGGUUUACAGAAUGUUGAAAGGAGAGUGAGGGAGGUACAGAACGGUGUAAAUAUAAUGUGGUAUGGUUACAUUACCGUGUAGGUAUUGGAUUAUGACUGCUGAAUGUCCCUUUUUUUGGGGGGUGUGGUUGGCGAAGCUGCUGUCGCCCCUGCAAUGCUCCUGUACCCCCCCCCAGCUCAAGCUCACCCCGUCGUUACCGCCCCCUAACACUUCCUCCCCACCGGACCACCCUCCGAUUCCCUCCUCAGACAGACCCAUCUACCCCCCGUGAAGGAGCGUAUUGGAGAAUAUUGAUGUCUAAAAUAAAGUGUAUAUAUAUAUAUAUAUAUAUAUAUAAGGUGGAUAUGUGAAGUGAAGAGCGUAUAGAUAUAUAUAAGGUGGGGGAGGUGUGGCAAAAUAAUGAUAUAUAAAAUAUAUAUAUAUAGUCGAUUUAACGUCGAUUUCUCCUUUGGAGGAUCUGGGAUGUAUUGGAUAAAAUGUGUUAAUAUUGUACAUUUAGAAUAAAAACAUUAUUUAAAACAAAGAAAAGCAAUUCAAAGUCAAGACAAAUGAACUGCUUGUAUUGUGAAGUCACUGUGAUAACUGACACGGUCUCUAACGAUGGUAUUUAACAAGACAAUGAAUACGAAAACAUCAACCACAUACCUUGUACACACACAAAAGGUGUGGUUCUGGAGCAGUUCUAUUGAGUUCUGUUGGAUUGAUCCCAUUGAGUUCUUUUGGAGCCCAUUGAGUUCUUUUGGAGCCCAUUGAGUUCUGUUGGAGCCCAUUGAGUUCUUUUGGAGCCCAUUGAGUUCUUUUGGAGCCCAUUGAGUUCUUUUGGAGCCCAUUGAGUUCUGCUGGAGCCCGUUGAGUUCUGUUGGAGCCCAUUGAUUCUUUUUGGAGCCCAUUGAGUUCUUUUGGAGCCCAUUGAGUUCUUUUGGAGCCCAUUGAGUUCUUUUGGAGCCCAUUGAGUUCUGCUGGAGCCCGUUGAGUUCUGUCGGAGCCCGUUGAGUUCCGUCGGAGCCCGUUGAGUUCCGUCGGAGCCCGUUGAGUUCCGUCGGAGCCCAUUGAGUUCCGUUGUCUCCACCAGUUCAGAUUCUCCACUGACCUGUGAACUAUUCUCAAUCUUCUCUCUUUCACACUCAUCCUUUCUGAAAAGAACCUUCAGGUCUCUCCCCAAACUGAGGAGGAUGUGCUGUACUCCUCUUCCAUCUUCACCCUUUUAAUGUUUUUUAUUUUCUGUUGGUGGUUUUAUUUAUCUUAUUGAGAGAAAUGGUUGGUUUUAUCUACAUUGAUUGAUCUCAUUUCGAUUGGCCAUAUUAUGAUGAGAUCUACUUUGAAUGGUGAGAUUUAAAUUAGAGAUUCACUCUGAUUUGGUUCAUCCUUGGGGUGGCAGGAUGACAUCUCUGUACAGUCUGUUUGAUCAGUAUUCCUCUUCAUUUGUUUUCACUUCCCAGGUUGAGUUACAGUACCCAAUCCCAUGUAGCCUGUGUUAAACUGUAUAGAUUGUGCAAAAAAAAAGAUGUCUGAAAGAUUACAUAAAAGAAAAACCCUAUCAAUUACAGAAAAAUAAAGUGAUUUUAAAAUGUAUAAAAGAAGUUGAGAAACAGUUUUAAGGGACAAAUGUAAUGUUUUGUCAUUAAUGUUUUUGUUGGAAGCGGGCUACUGGACAAAGAAUCGACUGUAAUAAAGUCAUUUUGGUACUUCUGAGUCCUGUCAGAGUGUAGUGUGGGUUCAGCGUGAAUGUGUGUGUGUGUGUGUGUGCGUGCGUGCGUGUGUGCGU
ensembl:lncRNA